AUUGAACGCUGGCGGCAGGCCUAACACAUGCAAGUCGAGCGGAUGAGAGGAGCUUGCUUCUCGAUUCAGCGGCGGACGGGUGAGUAAUGCCUAGGAAUCUGCCUGGUAGUGGGGGACAACGUUUCGAAAGGAACGCUAAUACCGCAUACGUCCUACGGGAGAAAGCAGGGGACCUUCGGGCCUUGCGCUAUCAGAUGAGCCUAGGUCGGAUUAGCUAGUUGGUGAGGUAAUGGCUCACCAAGGCGACGAUCCGUAACUGGUCUGAGAGGAUGAUCGGUCACACUGGAACUGAGACACGGUCCAGACUCCUAUGGGAGGCAGCAGUGGGGAAUAUUGGACAAUGGGCGAAAGCCUGAUCCAGCCAUGCCGCGUGUGUGAAGAAGGUCUUAGGAUUGUAAAGCACUUUAAGUUGGGAGGAAGGGUUGUAGAUUAAUACUCUGCAAUUUUGACGUUACCGACAGAAUAAGCACCGGCUAACUCUGUGCCAGCCGCCGCGGUAAAAC
rnacentral:rRNA from 1 species